UUCCCACAAAAGGAAUCGAGCCAAAUCGAAGUUGGAUAACUCCGCAGGUGUGGAUUAGCGGGAAUUGACGGACCGCUCAGAGGACUUGAAGUUAUUUAUCUCCAGCUUGCGUGAGGAUUUGGUGUGACUAUCUUGUGAGGAUUAUACAUUUCCAAUUGAUAUAAUGUUGAAUUAUAUGUUUGGUUUGUAAUAAUUGGUUUUCUGAGUUGUAUUGAGAACUCAGUGAUGAUCCGCUGUGCACGUUAAAUGAUUUCGAUUUCAUUGAGAU